rnacentral:rRNA from 1 species
GACGAACGCUGGCGGCAUGCCUAACACAUGCAAGUCGAACGGAGAUUAUUUCGGUAAUCUUAGUGGCGAACGGGUGAGUAACGCGUGGGCAACCUGCCCUCUAGAUGGGGACAACAUCCCGAAAGGGGUGCUAAUACCGAAUGUGACAGCAAUCUCGCAUGAGGAUGCUGUGAAAGAUGGCCUCUAUUUAUAAGCUAUCGCUAGAGGAUGGGCCUGCGUCUGAUUAGCUAGUUGGUGGGGUAACGGCCUACCAAGGCGAUGAUCAGUAGCCGGUCUGAGAGGAUGAACGGCCACAUUGGGACUGAGACACGGCCCAGACUCCUACGGGAGGCAGCAGUGGGGAAUCUUCCGCAAUAGGCGAAAGCCUGACGGAGCAAUGCCGCGUGAGUGAUGAAGGAAUUCGUUCCGUAAAGCUCUUUUGUUUAUGACGAAUGUGCAGAUUGUGAACAAUGAUCUGUAAUGACGGUAGUAAACGAAUAAGCCACGGCUAACUACGUG